ensembl:lncRNA
GGUUUGUGUUGUUUGUUUUUGAUGGAUUAGAUCCUGAUAAUUAUCAGCUGGUGAGUGCUGAGUAUCUGAUAAAAGCCCACAUAGAGCAGGAGGUUGCAUGCUGUUCUUGCUGGCUCCUGCAUAGUGACUGGUAGGAUGCAGUGAUCUGCUGUGCUGAAAGCAAGCGAAGCAUGCAUCACAGUGCAGUGGAAGUCUUGGAGAUCUUCAGUGUCAUAGGCUCCUGAAAAGAGUUAAAGGUCCUCUACCUUGGGAGCUGAACUGCAACGUAGAUGGAAGAGGCCAGGUACAGUCUUAUUGACCUUUAGGAAAGGAAACAUCUUGUUCAAGUCCAACCACUUUGUUUGUAUGUUCUGCAACUGCACAGCUUGGACAAUACCACCAGUUUAAAGGCAAUAUAUAUUGUCUGUUCAUUAAAACUUGAGAAUUGGAAAGGCUUCCAAAUGGAUUUGCUUCUCAGAGGUAUCAGAAAAAUGCAGGGAAUUCAACACUUCAAGGAAAAGCACCUACAUUUUGUUAUUGUUGGCCAUCAUUACAGCUUACUGAAGUCCUUCCUUAGAAAUGAAGUGGCUAAACAACCACAGCUGAUCAUUCUGUUGGUAUAUGUCAGACUUUCGACUAUGUUAUGAAGAUGCAUUGAUUUAGGAAAAAUGACAAGAUUAUAGGUACUUUGCUGAUAAGAGUAAAAGGUUUUUGUUUGUUGGUUUUUAAUUAAAAUUACACAAAAUAAACCAUUUUGUGAGCAUGGGGAAUAAUUCUGCCCUGAUCUGCACCGAGUGAUCCAGUCCAUCUCUUCAAUUUCUAACUUCUGUG